rnacentral:rRNA from 1 species
UUCGUAGGGGGCAAGCGUUGUCCGGAAUCAUUGGGCGUAAAGAGCGUGUAGGCGGCUCGGUAAGUCCGCUCUGAAAGCCCGGGGCUCAACCCCGGGAGGCGGGCGGAUACUGUCGGGCUAGAGUCCGGAAGAGGCGAGUGGAAUUCCUGGUGUAGCGGUGAAAUGCGUAGAUAUCAGGAGGAACACCGGUGGUGUAGACGGCUUUCUGGACCGUAACUGACGCUAAGACACGAAAGCGUGGGUAGCAAACAGG